UUAUUCAUCAUAGUCCUCCAGGCAAUAACAGAAGAAUUAAAAACAGGAUGCCCCUGGGAGCUCCUCUAUGUUAACGACCUUGCUCUAAUUGCUGAGUCACUAUCAGAACUAGAGAAGUUUCAGGUGCGGAAACAAGGACUAGAAUCGAAUGGACUUAGAAUCAACCUAGCUAAAACCAAAGUCCUAAUAAGUAGGAAGGCAG